AUGAAUAUGUAUUUCGAAGGCUAUGGUUACCGUGGAAGUACUUUUGAGCAGACCUAUCGCUGCUACCCUGCAUCUUUUAUUGACAAGCCACAGCUUGAAUCUGGUGACAAAAUUAUCAUGCCACCUUCGGCACUUGAUCGUCUUGCGUCUCUGCAUAUUGAGUACCCUAUGCUAUUUGAAGUACGCAACACAGCAGCAGAACGCACUUCACACUGUGGUGUCCUAGAGUUCAUUGCAGAAGAAGGCAUGAUCUACAUGCCAUACUGGAUGAUGCAAAAUCUUCUUUUGCAAGAAGGAGAUAUGGUGUUUAUAAAAAAUGCCAACCUCCCAAAGGGCACAUAUGUGAAGCUGCAGCCUCAUACAACUGACUUCUUGGACAUUUCAAAUCCCAAAGCAAUCUUGGAAAAGACUUUGCGGAACUACUCUUGUCUAACCACUGGUGACAGCAUUAUGGUGGCAUAUAAUAACAAGAAGUACUACAUUGAUAUAGUUGAAACAAAGCCUGCCAGUGCUAUAAGUAUAAUUGAGACUGAUUGUGAGGUUGACUUUGCCCCACCACUUGACUAUAAAGAACCUGAGCGACCAAAACCUACUGCUCCUCCCAGCGCUGAUCCUGCUGCAGAGGCUCAAGUUGAGGAGGAACCAAAGUUCAGCCCCUUCACUGGUCCUGGAAGGCGCUUGGAUGGCAAGCCUGCUAAAGAUCUGGAUGCGUCAUCCUCCUCGCCUGCAAAGCGACAAGCUAAUGCAACCAACAGUGUUCAGCCCUCAGCAUCCUCCACACCACAGAUCACGGCGCCACGUAAAACCACGGGAAAGCUUGUCUUUGGCUCUGGUGGAAGCCAGUCAUCAAAAGGAACAGAAAAGGUGCCCGAGAAGGAUGCAAAGGAGGAACCGAAGAAAGAAGAGCCGAAGUUUUCAGCAUUCACGGGAAAGAAGUACUCUUUGAAGGGUUGA
rnacentral:rRNA from 1 species